rnacentral:rRNA from 1 species
UACGAAGGGGGCUAGCGUUGCUCGGAAUCACUGGGCGUAAAGCGCACGUAGGCGGCUUUUAAGUCAGAGGUGAAAUCCUGGAGCUCAACUCCAGAACUGCCUUUGAUACUGAGAGGCUUGAGUCCGGGAGAGGUGAGUGGAACUGCGAGUGUAGAGGUGAAAUUCGUAGAUAUUCGCAAGAACACCAGUGGCGAAGGCGGCUCACUGGCCCGGUACCUGACGCUGAGGUGCGAAAGCGUGGGGAGCAAACAGGG